GUGAGAUAUAAGUAGCGUUCUCAACUUAUCGUCUGAGUGUUGAUGGAUAUUCUUAUAGAAUGACAAGCACUGAUUCUCUCUUCGCUGGUAAAUGUAAGAAGGCCAGUGUUUCUUAGUGAGGUAGUAUAAGAGGACUGGGGGAAAGCGAUUUUCAAUGCACGUUUUUGUAUACUCUCGAUUUGAUCAGCGAGGAAUUGAGGGAGAGAAAAAUUCCAUACAGGUGAGGCGUAUUCCAAAACUGGACGAAUAAAUGCACAAAAGACCGUUAUUAAAUCAUUGGCUGGGGCACCAGAUCGUUUGAGGAUCCUUAGAGCAUAAAGACGUUUACUUGCUUUGGUGCAGAUGUAAUCAAUGUGCGCAUUCCAGGUAAGAUCCGAUGGUAUUAUCACUCCCAGAAGUUUGAAGGUCUGGAUGAUUUCUAUGGUUCUAAGGAAGAUAAAAAGAUAAAGAUAAGGAAGAUAAAGAUAAGGAAGAUAAAAAGACAAAGAUAAGGAUAAGGAAGAUAAGGAAGAUAAAGGUAAGGAUGAGGAAGAUAAGAAGAUGAAGAUAAGGUUCGAUGUAGGGUCAAUGUAGGGUCGAUGUAGGGUCGAUAUGGGAUCGAUGUAGGGUCGAUAUGGGGUCGAUGUAUGGUCGAUGUAGGGUCGAUGUAGGGUCGAUGUAGGGUCGAUGUAGGGUCGAUGUAGGGUCGAUGUAGGGUCGAUGUAGGGUUGAUGUAGG